UAGCAAGUGUCCAGUCACAGGUAAGGUUUC
rnacentral:piRNA from 1 species